GUCUUUUCCGGUUCUUAAGCAUGAUGAUGAGGAGUUCACACGUUUGCGUGGCGUGUGCCUCCCUUAAAUCUUGCUAGGCGUUUGGCACAUCACCCACCUGAUG